CCAAGACUCCGAGUGCUCACCUCCGUGGUCAGGGCCAGGGCUCCUCUACGGCUCUCGAUGACCACAAUUGUUCUGUUUCCACGCACUAAGGGGGAAGGGGUAGGGAGGCAAAGGAAGUGAAGCAGGAGCCCAGUAAGAUUCCUGAAAAGCAGAUAGAACCAGAAUUCCUCUGGAGGUGAAGAAUCUGUUCAGAGGAACAACAUGGCUGCUAGCUUCGGAAAGAAGAGGGGAGCCCGAAAGCUGAUGCAGCUGGAACAGCUGGAACCCGGGAUGGUAAAAUUUUCCAUCUGAACCUCCAAGCAUCUUGUUCAAUGAGAAUCACCGAAGUAUUGCCACAGAAGUUAGGAAGAGCAUAAGGAGGCCUCCUGUCCUUGUGAUUAUUUGACAUUCUUCUAGAGACUAGCCACGACACAAGUGAACAAAAUUGGAAGUUGAAAAGAAAGAAGCCAAGAAGAAGAGGAAACGUGAUCAUCUGGGGCCCCAUAAAGAACUUCCACAAACCAAUUUCAAAACGAUUAACAAGAGAAUUUAAACAUGGGCAACAAAUAUAUAAGACAGGUGUAUCAAUAAGGAAAAAGACAGUUCCUAUACAUAUGAAAAAUAUUCACUCACACUCAUGUUGUGGAAUGCGUAUGAAAGUCACUAAGAUAUGAUUUUUCUCUGAUCAGACUGGCUGAUAAAAUCAUGAGCAGGGAUAUGCGGAAACUAAUACAAUGCUGGUAUAAUGUAAUUUGGUUAACACUUUAUAGGGGGCAAUCCAGUAAUACCUAUCAAAAUUACAAAUACGUGUACCAACUGCGUAGCAAUGCUACUUCUAGGAAUCUACUCAGGUGACCCAACUUUCUCUUGCUGUACCACAAACCACUCCACAAGUCACUGGCAUAAGGCAACAAUUCUAUUACGUUCGUGAUUUCAUGUGCUAGGAAUUCAGGCAGAGACGGAGGGUAUGAGUUGUCUUUCCUCCAUGCAGACUGGGGCUCCAGUUGGGGGGGCUGGAAUGGCUAUAGGUAGUUGGGAUGCAGCUAGAUGAGAGCCCCAUGGCUGUGGCUUCCUGGUUGUGAACUGUGUUCCUAGAUUGUUGUCCAUGUUGCACCUGCUGGGGCUGGAGCAUCCAAGACGGCUUCUCCACUCCUUCACCAAGGUGACAGCACUCUUCUCCUGGUUGUUUCGAUUACCAGUUCCUCACAGUGAAGUAAAGUCAGGAAUUUUAAGGGAGUAUUGAUCGGCUUUAAUCCCUGAGAGAGUAGGAAGGUUGAGGAGCAAUCACAGUGGCUGUUCAGAGGGGUUGAGAUGGUGUGGGGGUGAACCGGUGGAGGAGAGAGUGGAAUGAGUCAUGCCUGAGGCUUGUCCGUGUCCCAUUUCAAGGAACUGGGAACUGUCUUCACAUCAUGGUACUUGACGCUCCGGAAGGGGAUGACUGUGAUCCAUCCUCUGAGAUGGUAGACAAAGCAAUGGAAUAAGACUCAAAAUGGACGUCUCUUUGUGCUCUCUGACUUGUCCUUGAUGACGUGACACUGCUGGUAAUUGCAUCAUUUAGUGGAAUGCUUCUGUUGAUGUGUUCUGUGUGGAGUUAUUCUGGAAAAUGUAUUGUAAACCCUAAGGAGUGAUUGUGGAAGCAGCUGAAAUGUCAGCAUCCUUCCUGUUCUCGGGGUGUUGUACACAAUGGGCCGCUAGGAGAGGGAUCCCAUGAUCCCCAGGGGCAGGGCAUAGGUUAGCAGCUAUAGAGUAUAGCUCCCCCCUUCCUGCGCCUGGGGAUUGCUCGCCCAAACACCCCCCUCCUCCCUUGUCCCAUGACUGCCUCCAUACGUGCGGGCGUGUAGGGGACGAUGCAAGCCUGCUUUAGGGCUUCAGGAUAGCUGCCAUCCCUUUGUACUCCUUUCCCACGCUUUGAUGCACCUGCCCUUGCUUUUCUGAUAACAGAGAAAAUAAAAGCUACGUGCAGAAUUUAGCGGCUGUCUCCCUUGCGGAGGCAGCCCCGCACAGCUGCUCAGAUUGCUGUCUGAGAAAUUAAUUUCAGUGUGUGAUGACACUUUUAUAGGACUUCAAAUUUAUUUUGAAAUUUUUAGUUUAAAAGUUUAGUUAUUAUUUUUUACGAUUAUACUAUGAGAUUGGCCCUUUUUGCAACGACAGGCGUCAAUUCGAACCAGUGCCUUGGCAGCAACUCCUGUGCUUUGUUAAGCCAACAGCUCUACACACUUUUCAAUGGACAAGUCACUAAAUCUAACCUCUCCCAAAAGAUCCAACUUGGCUUUUUGUUUCUGUGUCAAGUUUGUCUGUUGUGUUGUGUCUCUCCUUUGUUUUGGUUUGCAGUUAUCUCUUCCGGGAAACUUUGGAAGUGAGCAACACACUUCAGGUGUCGAUUGGCCGACACACUACCCCAGCCUUUGCGACUUCACGUCUGACACUCUCACUGCUUCAGAUCUGCCGUCUCAACAACUUCCAAGUGUACAAUCCAGAAUUAUAACUAGAGUCGCCAUGCGGUGUGUUAGAUCCCAGAACUUAGUCACCUUACAAUUGAAGCCUUUCACCUUUUGGCCAGCAUCCCCUCAUCUCCCCAAAUCCCCAGGCCCCGGUAAUCACCAUUACAACUCCCUGUUGCUAUGAGUUUGACUUCUUUUUAGAUUCCACGUAUAAGUGUGAUUAUACGGUAUUUGUCUUUCUCUGUCUGAUUUUUUUUAACUGAGCAUAAUGACCUAAGGUUUAUCCAUAUUGUGGCAAAUGGCAAGAUUUCCAUCUUUCUCAUGUCUGAACAAUAUGGCAUUGUAUACGCCUACCACAUCUUCGUUAUCCACUCAUCCACUGACAAACAUAGACUGUUUCCAGAACUUGGCUACUGAGGAUAAUGCUGCAAUGAACGUGGGAGUGCAGGUAUCUCCUCAAGAUACUGAUUUUGUUUCCUUUGGAUAUAAACCCCAAAGAGGGGUUGCUGGAUCAUAUGGUAGUUCUAUUUUAAUUUUUGAAGGAACUUCCAUCUGUCUUCCAUAAUCGCUGUACCAGUUUGCAUUCCCACCAACAGUGUACGAGGGUUUCCCUUUUCUCCACAUCCUCGCCAACACUUGUUAUUGCUUGUGUGUUUGGCCAUAGUCAUCUGAUAGGUGUGAGGUGACAGCUCGUUGUGGUUUGAUUUGCAUCUCCCUGGUACUUAGUGAUGCUGAGCCCCUGUUCAUGUACCUGCUGGCUAUUCAUCCGUCUUCUUUGGAAAUAAUAUCUAUUCGUGUCCUUUGCCCAUUUUUAAACUGGGCUCCUCGUCAGGAUGCUUAUAGUAGCCAAUAGCUGUCUUUUGUUAAACGCAAAGUACUUUUUUGGAUUCAGAAAAGCAAUGUCUUAAGUUUUUAUUAUUUAAAAAUUUUUAUCUCUAGCUGAUUUACUGGAUUUUAUCUAUGAUUUAGAGAAGUAAUGGGCUUUGCGUGAUGUAUGUUGCACUGUGUUUGUUUUACCUAUAAAACAAUAGGAAAUAGGUCCCUGCUAGUGUUUUGACACAGAAUGGUGUAUUUUUAGGAAGUGAUUACUGAUAUGAAGCAGGAGUUGCCCAUAUUGUCUUGUUCUUUAAGUAUACCUAAGGAACUCUCAGGGAAGGAGCUGGAAGAACACAAAACAAACUGAUAAUAGUUUGUAACAAGGUAGUGAUGUUCACCCAAUCCCAUGGCUCCACUGCCUUUCCCAGCCUCCCUAAGACUGAGCGCAGAGCCGGGGAUGAUUCCUCGUCAGUGCAUUGGGAGGGAAAGCCACAUGUGGUCACUAGGAAUCUGGGAUGAAGGCAAUGUAAACUCCAUAUUCUCCCUCCCCCUUCUGUGAUGACUGUCAUAUAAAGAAGCAGAAAGAGCAUUUGAACGGUUUUGACUUGAACUCUUUCGGUUCAUUCCAGAAGAAUGCAGACACUCGCGAUUAUUACUGUGGACACUACUACAUCAUUGGUCCCCAGAGGCGUGUUCCCUGAAAUGACAGAGCUGGAUGGGAAGGAAAGGCAGGGGGGCCAUGGGAGGAGCCAUCAGGGAGUAUUUAAAAAUCCUUUCAGGGUUAAUGA